GGAGAAGGGAGAAAAAGUCCAAAUGCAGAAUUAAAAAUAAAUGAUAGUUUGCAAGAUAUGUUCAAUAGGACAAUACGUGAAGAAUAUCCCCCAACUAGUAGAUGAAGAGGAGGAAUCUUCAGCUCCACCAGGAAACCAAACACUCCCGGGGAUAAACAUGAUAAACGCAAAGAGAAAGCAUUCAUGGAGCCAUAUUUUAAAGAUAAGAGGGAAACUAGCUUACAACAUUUUUCUCACAUUGAGGUGGUUCGGAAGAAAGAUGAGAGAACCAAAUUGCUUGGUCAUACAUAUAAGGAAUGUGAAAUUUAUUGUGUAGAUAUUCCAGCAAAAGAAAGAAAAGAAGUUGACUUCCUAUUCAAGACAUUUUGCUAAAUUCCAUCCAACACACCAGAGAAUUUCUGAGAAGCUGGUUUUUCUU
rnacentral:lncRNA from 1 species